rnacentral:rRNA from 2 species
GACGAACGCUGGCGGUGUGCUUAACACAUGCAAGUCGAACGGUAAGGCCCUUUCGGGGGUACACGAGUGGCGAACGGGUGAGUAACACGUGAGUAACCUGCCCUCAUCUCUGGGAUAACAGUCGGAAACGGUUGCUAAUACUGGAUAUGAGCUUGCAAGGCAUCUUGUGGGUUGGAAAGAUAUUUUUUGGUUGGGGAUGGACUCGCGGCCUAUCAGCUUGUUGGUGAGGUAGUGGCUCACCAAGGCUUCGACGGGUAGCCGGCCUGAGAGGGCGACCGGCCACAUUGGGACUGAGAUACGGCCCAGACUCCUACGGGAGGCAGCAGUGGGGAAUAUUGCACAAUGGACGGAAGUCUGAUGCAGCAACGCCGCGUGCGGGAUGACGGCCUUC